GGCAAGGUCGAACGCUGUUGUGGUUCAACUGAUUUGAAGAGCUUGCUCAGAUAUGACGAUGGACAUUGCAAAGAGUGGCGAACGGGUGAGUAACACGUGGGAAACCUACCUCUUAGCAGGGGAUAACAUUUGGAAACAGAUGCUAAUACCGUAUAACAAUGACAACCGCAUGGUUGUUAUUUAAAAGAUGGUUCUGCUAUCACUAAGAGAUGGUCCCGCGGUGCAUUAGCUAGUUGGUAAGGUAAUGGCUUACCAAGGCGAUGAUGCAUAGCCGAGUUGAGAGACUGAUCGGCCACAAUGGGACUGAGACACGGCCCAUACUCCUACGGGAGGCAGCAGUAGGGAAUCUUCCACAAUGGGCGAAAGCCUGAUGGAGCAACGCCGCGUGUGUGAUGAAGGGUUUCGGCUCGUAAAACACUGUUGUAAGAGAAGAAUGACAUUGAGAGUAACUGUUCAAUGUGUGACGGUAUCUUACCAGAAAGGAACGGCUAAAUACGUGCCAGCAGCCGCGGUAAUACGUAUGUUCCAAGCGUUAUCCGGAUUUAUUGGGCGUAAAGCGAGCGCAGACGGUUAUUUAAGUCUGAAGUGAAAGCCCUCAGCUCAACUGAGGAAUUGCUUUGGAAACUGGAUGACUUGAGUGCAGUAGAGGAAAGUGGAACUCCAUGUGUAGCGGUGAAAUGCGUAGAUAUAUGGAAGAACACCAGUGGCGAAGGCGGCUUUCUGGACUGUAACUGACGUUGAGGCUCGAAAGUGUGGGUAGCAAACAGGAUUAGAUACCCUGGUAGUCCACACCGUAAACGAUGAGUGCUAGGUGUUUGAGGGUUUCCGCCCUUUAGUGCCGCAGCUAACGCAUUAAGGCACUCCGCCUGGGGGA
rnacentral:rRNA from 1 species